rnacentral:rRNA from 1 species
GUCCACAGCCAUACACCUGAAUGUGCCUGAUCUCGUCUGAUUUCAGAAGUUAAGCAGGGUCGGGCUUGUUUAGUACUUGGAUGGGAGAAAUGGUAUGGCAUUGUGUAGC